rnacentral:rRNA from 1 species
UACGUAGGAGACGAGCGUUGUCCGGAAUUACUGGGCGUAAAGCGCGUGUAGGCGGAUGGGCAAGUCUGCUGUGAAAGCUCCUGGCUUAACCGGGAGUGGUCGGUGGAAACUGCCAAUCUGGAGGACGGUAGAGGUAGGUAGAAUUCCUGGUGUAGCGGUGAAAUGCGCAGAUAUCAGGAGGAACACCAAUGGCGAAGGCAGCACUCUGGGACGUGACUGACGCUGAGACGCGAAAGCGUGGGGAGCAAACAGG